GUGACUAUCUGAAGACGUUUCUUCAUGGUUUGUCUCUGUUCUAGGUCUCUGGGAGUGACUAUCUGAAGACGUUACUUCAUGGGUUUGUCUCUGUUCUAGGUCUCUGGGAGUGACUAUCUGAAGACGUUACUUCAUGGUUUGUCUCUGUUCUAGGUCUCUGGGAGUGACUAUCUGAAGACGUUUCUUUGUGGGUUUGUCUCUGUUCUAGGUCUCUGGGAGUGACUAUCUGAAGACGUUACUUCGUGGGUUUGUCUCUGUUCUAGGUCUCUGGGAGUGACUAUCUGAAGACGUUACUUCGUGGGUUUGUCUCCGUUCUAGGUCUCUGGGAGUGACUAUCUGAAGACGUUUCUUUGUGGGUUUGUCUCUGUUCUAGGUCUCUGGGAGUGACUAUCUGAAGACGUUACUUCGUGGGUUUGUCUCCGUUCUAGGUCUCUGGGAGUGACUAUCUGAAGACGUUACUUCGUGGGUUUGUCUCCGUUCUAGGUCUCUGGGAGUGACUAUCUGAAGACGUUACUUCGUGGGUUUGUCUCCGUUCUAGGUCUCUGGGAGUGACUAUCUGAAGACGUUACUUCGUGGGUUUGUCUCUGUUCUAGGUCUCUGGGAGUGACUAUCUGAAGACGUUACUUCAUAGGUUUGUCUCCGUUCUAGGUCUCUGGGAGUGACUAUCUGAAGACGUUACUUCAUGGUUUGUCUCUGUUCUAGGUCUCUGGGAGUGACUAUCUGAAGACGUUUCUUCAUAGGUUUGUCUCUGGGAGUGACUAUCUGAAGACGUUACUUCGUGGGUUUGUCUCCGUUCUAGGUCUCUGGGAGUGACUAUCUGAAGACGUUACUUUGUGGGUUUGUCUCUGUUCUAGGUCUCUGGGAGUGACUAUCUGAAGAUGUUACUUCAUGGUUUGUCUCUGUUCUAGGUCUCUG